CUAAUACAUGCAAGUAGAACGCUGAAGAGAGGAGCUUGCUCUUCUUGGAUGAGUUGCGAACGGGUGAGUAACGCGUAGGUAACCUGCCUUGUAGCGGGGGAUAACUAUUGGAAACGAUAGCUAAUACCGCAUAACAAUGGAUGACACAUGUCAUUUAUUUGAAAGGGGCAAUUGCUCCACUACAAGAUGGACCUGCGUUGUAUUAGCUAGUAGGUGAGGUAAUGGCUCACCUAGGCGACGAUACAUAGCCGACCUGAGAGGGUGAUCGGCCACACUGGGACUGAGACACGGCCCAGACUCCUACGGGAGGCAGCAGUAGGGAAUCUUCGGCAAUGGGGGCAACCCUGACCGAGCAACGCCGCGUGAGUGAAGAAGGUUUUCGGAUCGUAAAGCUCUGUUGUAAGUCAAGAACGGGUGUGAGAGUGGAAAGUUCACACUGUGACGGUAGCUUACCAGAAAGGGACGGCUAACUACGUGCCAGCAGCCGCGGUAAUACGUAGGUCCCGAGCGUUGUCCGGAUUUAUUGGGCGUAAAGCGAGCGCAGGCGGUUUGAUAAGUCUGAAGUUAAAGGCUGUGGCUCAACCAUAGUUCGCUUUGGAAACUGUCAAACUUGAGUGCAGAAGGGGAGAGUGGAAUUCCAUGUGUAGCGGUGAAAUGCGUAGAUAUAUGGAGGAACACCGGUGGCGAAAGCGGCUCUCUGGUCUGUAACUGACGCUGAGGCUCGAAAGCGUGGGGAGCGAACAGGAUUAGAUACCCUGGUAGUCCACGCCGUAAACGAUGAGUGCUAGGUGUUGGAUCCUUUCCGGGAUUCAGUGCCGCAGCUAACGCAUUAAGCACUCCGCCUGGGGAGUACGACCGCAAGGUUGAAACUCAAAGGAAUUGACGGGGGCCCGCACAAGCGGUGGAGCAUGUGGUUUAAUUCGAAGCAACGCGAAGAACCUUACCAGGUCUUGACAUCCCGAUGCUAUUUCUAGAGAUAGAAAGUUACUUCGGUACAUCGGUGACAGGUGGUGCAUGGUUGUCGUCAGCUCGUGUCGUGAGAUGUUGGGUUAAGUCCCGCAACGAGCGCAACCCCUAUUGUUAGUUGCCAUCAUUCAGUUGGGCACUCUAGCGAGACUGCCGGUAAUAAACCGGAGGAAGGUGGGGAUGACGUCAAAUCAUCAUGCCCCUUAUGACCUGGGCUACACACGUGCUACAAUGGUUGGUACAACGAGUUGCGAGUCGGUGACGGCGAGCUAAUCUCUUAAAGCCAAUCUCAGUUCGGAUUGUAGGCUGCAACUCGCCUACAUGAAGUCGGAAUCGCUAGUAAUCGCGGAUCAGCACGCCGCGGUGAAUACGUUCCCGGGCCUUGUACACACCGCCCGUCACACCACGAGAGUUUGUAACACCCGAAGUCGGUGAGGUAACCUUUUGGAGCCAGCCGCCUAA
rnacentral:rRNA from 1 species